rnacentral:rRNA from 1 species
AUUGAACGCUGGCGGCAUGCCUUACACAUGCAAGUCGAACGGCAGCACGGGAGCUUGCUCCUGGUGGCGAGUGGCGAACGGGUGAGUAAUACAUCGGAACGUACUCCGUAGUGGGGGAUAACGCACCGAAAGGUGCGCUAAUACCGCAUACGACCUACGGGUGAAAGCGGGGUACCGUAAGGCCCCGCGCUAUUGGAGCGGCCGAUGUCUGAUUAGCUAGUUGGCGGGGGAAUAGCCCACCAAGGCGACGAUCAGUAGCUGGUCUGAGAGGACGAUCAGCCACACUGGGACUGAGACACGGCCCAGACUCCUACGGGAGGCAGCAGUGGGGAAUUUUGGACAAUGGGGGCAACCCUGAUCCAGCAAUGCCGCGUGUGCGAAGAAGGCCUUCGGGUUGUAAAGCACUUUUGUCAGGGAAGAAAUCUUUCAGGCUAAUACCCUUGGAAGGAUGACGGUACCUGAAGAAUAAGCACCGGCUAACUACGUGCCAGCAGCCGCAGUAA